rnacentral:rRNA from 1 species
UACGUAGGGUCCGAGCGUUGUCCGGAAUUACUGGGCGUAAGGAGCUCGUAGGUGGUUUGUCGCGUUGUUCGUGAAAACUCACAGCUCAACUGUGGGCGUGCGGGCGAUACGGGCAGACUUGAGUACUGCAGGGGAGACCGGAAUUCCUGGUGUAGCGGUGGAAUGCGCAGAUAUCAGGAGGAACACCGGUGGCGAAGGCGGGUCUCUGGGCCGAUACUGACGCUGAGGAGCGAAAGCGUGGGGAGCGAACAGG